GACGAACGCUGGCGACGCGCUUAACACAUGCAAGUCGAACGGAAAGGCCUGCUUUCCCUUGUGGAUUGCGGGUACUCGAGUGGCGAACGGGUGAGUAACACGUGAGUGAUCUGCCCCCAACUUGGGUAUAAGCCUGGGAAACUGGGUCUAAUUCCCGAUAGGACUGCAGGGUGGUGCCUGUGGUGGAAAACGAUUUUCUAGUGGUUGGGGAUGAGCUCGCGGCCUAUCAGCUUGUUGGUGGGGUAAUGGCCUACCAAGGCGGCGACGGGUAGCCGGCCUGAGAGGGUGGACGGCCACAUUGGGACUGAGUUACGGCCCAGACUCCUACGGGAGGCAGCAGUGGGGAAUAUUGCACAAUGGGCGGAAGCCGGAUGCAGCGACGCCGCGUGGGGGAUGACGGCCUUCGGGUUGUAAACUCCUUUCGACCGCGAGGAAGCCACCUGGUUGGAAGGGUGGUGACGGUAGUGGUAGAAGAAGCACCGGCUAACUACGG
rnacentral:rRNA from 1 species